UCGGAUGUACCGAUGGGACUAUUCUUUAAAGAUUUUGACAUACUUAUAGGGCUCAAUUGGUACUAAUGAUAUAAUAUAUCUAUGUCACCCCAAUAUCUUGUUUGAUACAAAGCACACGACCCUUUAUAAAUCAAAAGCCUGAAAAUAUUAAAUAAAUUUGAGUAAUUUUGUAUACCGCCUAAGAAGAUGAUAUACGUAAUACAAAUCAUAAUUAUAAGUAUUAUUAACUUUAUAUCUGAAUACACCAUACCAAACAACAAAUAUAUUUUACAAAUAUUUUGAUGCAUUCUACGAAACAUGAUAUUAAUAUGACAUAUAGUAAAAGAUUAGUAUUUUAGUUAAACAUAUCAUACCUUUAUUACAUACUAUUGUGUACCAAAAUACCCAUAGUUAAAAAUUUUAAUUAUAUAAGUACUCAUUUUAAAAUAAAUCAAGAAUAUUUAUGUAUCUAAAAUUCUUUAAAAUUAUGAAAAUUUAACUAUUUGAUAAUGUAUAUUAGUAUAUAUAGCAAAUUUAUACCUUUCAACUAGUAGCACUAUAAACUUAAAGGUGAACCAAGCACGAAAUCGGAACAUGUUCCGAUUGCAACUGAUACGACAUAUCUUCCUAAAAUCUAC
rnacentral:lncRNA from 1 species